rnacentral:rRNA from 1 species
CCUACGGGUGGCAGCAGUGGGGAAUAUCGCACAAUGGGCGCAAGCCUGAUGCAGCCAUGCCGCGUGUGUGAAGAAGGCCUUCGGGUUGUAAAGCACUUUCAGCGGGGAGGAAGGCGGUGAGGUUAAUAACCUCAUCGAUUGACGUUACCCGCAGAAGAAGCACCGGCUAACUCCGUGCCAGCAGCCGCGGUAAUACGGAGGGUGCAAGCGUUAAUCGGAAUUACUGGGCGUAAAGCGCACGCAGGGGGUCUGUCAAGUCGGAUGUGAAAUCCCCGGGCUCAACCUGGGAACUGCAUUCGAAACUGGCAGGCUAGAGUCUUGUAGAGGGGGGUAGAAUUCCAGGUGUAGCGGUGAAAUGCGUAGAGAUCUGGAGGAAUACCGGUGGCGAAGGCGGCCCCCUGGACAAAGACUGACGCUCAGGUGCGAAAGCGUGGGGAGCAAACAGGAUUAGAUACCCGUGUAGUC